CCUACGGGUGGCACCAGUGGGGAAUAUUGCACAAUGGGCGCAAGCCUGAUGCAGCCAUGCCGCGUGUAUGAAGAAGGCCUUCGGGUUGUAAAGUACUUUCAGCGGGGAGGAAGGGAGUAAGGUUAAUAACCUUAUUCAUUGACGUUACCCGCAGAAGAAGCACCGGCUAACUCCGUGCCAGCAGCCGCGGUAAUACGGAGGGUGCAAGCGUUAAUCGGAAUUACUGGGCGUAAAGCGCACGCAGGCGGUCUGUCAAGUCGGAUGUGAAAUCCCCGGGCUCAGCCUGGGAACUGCAUUCGAAACUGGCAGGCUGGAGUCUUGUAGAGGGGGGUAGAAUUCCAGGUGUAGCGGUGAAAUGCGUAGAGAUCUGGAGGAAUACCGGUGGCGAAGGCGGCCCCCUGGACAAGGACUGACGCUCAGGUGCGAAAGCGUUGGGAGCAAACAGGAUUAGAUACCCUGGUAGUC
rnacentral:rRNA from 1 species